CAAGAACAAGUUCUUAGUGACUCUAAGUGACAGAAAGAAUGGACAAAUCCCUGGGCUUGCUCAUCCUUUGGUUACAACUAGACUGGGUGAGCAGUAAACAGGAGGUGAAGCAGAUUCCUGAAGCUCUGAAUAUCUGCGAACAGGACAGUGUGGUUCUCAACUGCAGUUACACAGAUGGCGCUCUUUAUUCCCUUCAGUGGUUUAGGCAGGACCCCGGGAAAGGGCUCACAUUCCUGUUGUUAAUUCAGUCAAAUCAGAGAGAACUAACAAGUGGAAGAAUUAAAGUCUCGUUGGAUACAUCGGCAAGACAGAGCACUUUAUACAUUGCAGCUUCUCAGCUCAGUGACUCAGCCACCUACCUCUGUGCGGUGAGGCACAGUGCUCAACAGGCUCCUGUCACCGAUACCCAAACUCUGCAGCUGGGGCUCCAGUUACGUGUUCUGUCUUGA